CCACUGCACUCCAGCCUGGGUGACAGAGUGAGACCCUGUUUCAAAAUAAAUAAAAAGUUGCAUAGUGGGUUAUUUGUGCAUUAAAAGCAUAAGUCUUGUUGCUGUACUUUUUCAGAUGAAUUCACAAUCUCACAUUUCUACAAUUUUUGUUGGAUGUGUAGAGGAAAAAUAAGGGAAAGCAUGGCUAGCAUGUCAAGUCCAUGUAGAGGUGGGGGUAUGACAAAAGAGUCACUUUGUCAUAGAAAAAAAUAAGCAAGAGAAAUUUCAGAUUGAAUACCAUUAAAUUUCCAGACAAUAAAAAUUGGUCAUGAGUGGACUAGAGGCUCCAACCACAGAGAUAUUUCUAGACCCAGCUGGCAAAAACAGGGCAUUUCACUGUGGUAGAUGUACCUUAAUAGUGGCUGAAAGAUACCUGAACAGGUGAAAGUGGUAUUUCAUUGCAGCCACUCUGAGGAUUUCUCCUUUCACAAUUGAUCAAAUCUUUUUUUUUUCUAUAAGCUACAAAGAGGACUUGAGGUCUUUUUGCUUACUUGUUUAUACCCUGACUGAGUAGAUGCUGCCUACCAUUAUUUGAGGAAUUUUUUUAACAUGAAGAAAUUUAUUCAUUGGAACAUUUUGUGAUAAUCUUUUGAGUUCACAUAAUCAGCUGGCUUCAGAAUGAGGAUAAUUUGCUUUUAUUAACUGUUUACAUCCUUAUGUUUUCCUCAAGAACCAUUAAAAUUUAAUGAUCUCUAUACUUAAGUGAAUGGAUAUAGAAUUAUUUAGUUUGACUUUCAGAAGGUUUGCAUUUUAGCCAAAGAUUAAAUUCUAGCUGCCCAUGCCAUGAUUGCUUUUUGAACACAGAGAAGUUACUUGAUGUUAUUGACUAGAAAAAAAAAAAAAUGAUACAGCCAGAUUGUACCUCUGGGCAAAUUACCCUGUGGGAUUCAGUUUGUUUAGAGACCACACUGAUAGGAAUGAGGAAUGCUGGGUAUGGUACUAACAUCUAAUGAGGGGCCUGAAAGAUUUAUGAGCUAUUAGGAGCUAUAGCCGCAUCUGGCCAAAUUUUAGAGUUUUUCUCAAUAGAGAGUUACAAAAUCUUCUGGAACAGUCCAGUAUCAUAUCUAUCUGGAGACUGCUGCAAACAAAUAGCUCUUUAGUUCUUGGUAAGAGCAAAGAAUAUUGGGCCAUAUUUCUGGCCCUUAAGAAAUGUGGAGUCUGAUUCCAUUUGGCUGGAAGUUUAAUUUGGUAUGGAAUUUUAGCCAGACUUCUAGGGGAAAUAAUUUUUCAAAAAUAUAACCAAAACUUAUUGCAAAAAGUGAUGUGCAUUUGGUCUAUCUGUUCUAUUAAAGGUCAUUUAAACACUUUGUAAAUAUUCACAGUACUGUUUCCAGCAGCAUGUAGUACUUGCUUGAUCUUUUUGUUUCUGAAUUUGUGGCCAUGAACCUUUAUGUAGAAUUGGGGGAAACUGAUUGUAGUCUGCUGUUUAUUUAAAUUGCAGGUAGUUGUCUAACCAACUACCAGUGAUGUUUUUUCCUUUCUCUGGAAGUUAUUGUAUAAUUCGCCUUUUGGAAUAUGGCACCUUCUGUUGUGUACAGAGCACUGUACCACUCUAGACACUUCAUUAGAACAGAAAUAGAAAAUAAUUUGAUAUGAAGACACGGUAGUAUAGGAACAAUUGACUUAUGCAGGCUGAAAGAAGCCUUAAGCUUGGCAAAAUGAUACCCCAAAUGCAGGGUGUGAUAUCAGUUCUUGAAUAUUUGAGAGAUGGAAAGACCAAACAGGGAAAGGAAUUAUUUUGCUUAGUUAUUAGAAGUAAGGGGAAGAAAUAUAGAAAGAGAAAUUUCAGACUGAAUACCAUUGAAUUUCCAGACAAUAAAAAUCGGUCAUGAGUGGACUAGAAGCCCCAACCACAGAGAUGUUUCUAGACUCAGCUGGCAAAAACAGGGCAUUUCAUUGUGGGAGAUGUACCUUAACAGUGGCUGAAAGAUCAUCUGAACAGGAGAAAGUGGUAUUUCAUUGACAGCCACUCUUGAGGAUUUCUCCUUUUGCAGUUGAUCAAAGCCUUUUUUCCUUCUAUAUGCUAGAAAGAGGACUUGAGGUCUUUUUGCUUGUUUCUACCCUGACUGAUUCAUAACUUACUUUAGAAGAAACAUGACGUACCUUUGGAAGAAACCAUCUUCCAAAGAAAUGAGUAUUCAAAAGCUUCAAGUUUUUGUAGUAUGAAAGCAGUCUGAGUUUGUUUUUUGUCUUUUUUUUAUCCAUUUUUAUUUAGGUUAAGGUAAUAGCUAGUUGGCUGGCCACAGUGUGGGAGACAACUCUUACCGGAGUUAGAACCUGAAGACUGAGUUUGAAUUCCGACCCAAGCACUCAUUAGCUGAGUCACCUGAGCAGGUUGCAAAUGCUCCCUGAGCAUCCCUUUUCCAAAAUGAGUGGGCAAUAAUACCAUCACGCUUGCUGUGAAGAUCAAGUGAAACUGUGUGUGGGAAAGUGCUGUGCCAGUUUUAGUUAUUAAUGUUUGUACUCAUUUUCUAUUGUUGCUGAAACAAAUGAUCACAAAGUAGGGAUCACAAAUUUAUCAUCCCACAGUUCUGUAACCUAGAAGUCUGGUUGGGUUUGACUGGUUUCUUGGCUCUGGGUCUCACAAGGCUGAAGUCGAGAUGUUUCCACCCUGGUUUCCUAUCUGGAGGCUCCCACGUUUGUUCAGAUCCUGGGAGAAUUCAGUUUCAUGCAGCUUGUAGGACUGAAGUCCCUGUUCCCUUCCUGGCAGCCUAGGGGUGUUUCAUCUUCUGGGGGCUGCCUUAUUCCCUAGCUUAUGACCCCCUUCCUCUUUAAAGUUAGUCAAGUCCUUCUCAUGUUUCAGAUCUCUCUGACCUCUUCUGCUUCAUUUCCCCUCCCUCCAGCUAGAGAAAGUUCUUGGUUUUGUGGGGCUCAUGUGAUUAGAUUAGGCCCACCGAGAUAAUCCAGAAUAAACUCCCUAAUUUGAAGUCCAUAACCUUAAUUACAUCUGCAAAGUGCCUUUCAUCAUGUAACAUAUUCAAAGGUCUUAGGGAUUAAGGUAUGGAUAUCUUUGGUUGAGGGGGGCGGCAUUCUGCCUAUCACAGUGGUAUUUUAGGGUGAGAGGGGGAGCUUACAGAACAUGAGAUUCUUGCCCUGGAGGACUCACAAUCCAGUGGAAGAAGGAGGAAAAACACAAUACAGCAAGAAAUUCUGUAUUAACAAAGAGUCUGUACGAGAUGUUGCAGGAGCCCAGGAGACUCCCUGUGUACUUGACUGGAGACUCCUGUGUACUUGACUUGGAGGUUUUUUUCAUUAUUCUCUUCUUGUUCCCUAAUGAGUCUUGCCUUUCAUCAAGAUCUUUCAGAUGGAAUUCAUAUGCCCCAAACACCACCAUGUGAUUUGAUUCCUUAAAUGUCCAGAAAAUCAAGCUGCUGCUGUAGCUCAGUAUUUGGGACUGUACUGCUUCAUAAGGUCUUCAGCCCACAGCUCAAGCUAGGAGGAAUUAUUUUCUUCUCUGACGAUGAGGUAUAACAAGAGCUUGUUGCUCCUCGGCUCCCGUUUUUCAUCAUCAACCCCCACCGAGAGCCUUAUUGUUCUUUACUCCUAGCUCUGUCUACUGUGUGUAUGUCUUUUCUCCCUCCUCUUCGGAAUGUUCUUGUUUCUUAUUGUUUUGAAUUAGAAGGCACUUGUCCUGGGCAGUGCAGGGGUUUCUGUUUAAUUCUUGCCAUUUGUCAUUUCUAGUUUAAUAAUGUUUCCUGGCUAUUUGGUCAGGUCUGGGUGAUAGUUUUGUAGUAAUAGCUACCAUUUACCGAGCACUUACCAUGUGCCAGGUACUAUGUAAAGUUCUGUACUUGCAUUUUCCAAUUUGGACACACUGUGAGGUGUAGGUACUAUUUUUCUAUUCAUUUGAACCUAGCUAGGAUUUGAACCAAGCUCCAACUUUAAAGCUUGUACUUGACACUAUGUAGUUCAGUAAUAUCAAACAGGAGCUGAAAUGGAGGAGCAGCAUGAAGGAACUGAAGCAGCACAGGUAGAUUCAGGAAACCUCAAUUUCAAACUCUGCCUUUACAAUCCUUCUGAAAGAGGAUUUGCUUCUAGAGCACCAAGAUUGCCUCCAUUUUUCCACCAGAGACACUCAAAGUGAUUCCUCCUGCAGCUGUGCCAACCACAAAGCACAUAUGGGCAUUGGCUGAGCAUUCCACAGAAGAGCCUGUUUCUCUGGGAGGUGGUGAGGACUGGGUGUAUGGUGUGCCAUGUGGCUGGCCCCUGAAACACCCUGGCCCUAGCAGUUAUAGGUAGAGAGAGUAUCUUCCCCACAAGGUUAGUAUGAAUAUUUUAAGGAUUUAGGAUGGUGCCUGUCACUUAUUAGGCACUCAAUAUGCUCUGGCUCUCAUUGUCCUAGAAGGGUUUUAGUUCGUGGGUAUUCAAGUUAGCAGAAUCCUGUCCUUUUAGCUCUACUUGAAUCUAGGCUCAAUGUUCAGGAGAAGACAUGAGAUGCAUCUCUGUGUUGGUCCAGGUCCAAUGCUGUGAAUCAUACCAACUCUUGUUAAGUUUGAGCUCUGAAAAGGCUGGAAUUUGAGGCCAAAGAAGGCAAAAUAUUUUCCCCCCCGAUUCUUGCUAAGUUCUUGAGUUAUUGGCAUAAUGGAAACAGAAAGUCCUAGGUUCAAAUCCGGCUCUACAUUUGCCUGUUCAAGUUACCUGCCUGUUUGCACCGUGGGAAGAACUUGGGCUGUGGAGGAGGGUAAACCUGGGUUCAAAAUCCCAGCUUUGCAAAUUAAUGGCCAUUUUACUCAGUCACGUUUCCUUUCUGAGGCUCUUUUCUAUAAAGUGAGGCAGCAGCAGUUCUUCCGUUGCAGAGUUGUGAAGGCAGAGCAUAACGCAUGUGGUAUAACCAGGCUGCCAUGGGGGUGCAGCCAGUGAAAGGUCUGGAGCUGCUUUACAGGGGCCAUUCAUUCAUUCAGGUUUAGGUUGAGCAAGGGGGCCCACCUGUGACUUGUAUCCUUCUCCCUCUCCAGUGGAAGGGCAGCCAGGUGAGGCAACUGUGGGUACCCUGCCCACAGCCAGAGCAGGUAAGGGGAAGAGGACUGCUACACAGUGGAAGUGCCAAGUACCACCUAAGCCCAGCCCCAUUCCUGUUCCACUGCUGAAGCCCCUGGCGCCAGACAGUGUUGCUUCAGCUGGUAGUAGUUAAUGCUCCUUUACUUGGAAACAUUUUCAGCUCCUGGGAGCAAUAUGGUGGCGUGAGGGCUCACUGAUCACCCGCCCUGUUUCUCUGUGACUGGGAUCUGCAUGCCCCCGACUCCGGCCCAAUUUACCAUUCUUCAAGGCUCACCAGCCUGUGGGCCCAGGGCCAACAGGGAUGGGAGUGGAGGGUGGGGUGGAGCGUGGGGAACUUUUCCGGGAAAAGGCCCAGCAGGGUCUUGGCUGGCGGCCCCGUUAGCCACGGCCCAGGACCCCAGGGUGGGGGAGUGAACAGAAAGGUACUCUUGCCUGGAGCGGUUGCAACAUCCUCCGUAAUGAGGAAGAUACAGCUCAGAGGCACUGGGUGGAAGGACCCCUCUUCCUGGCCCUCCUUUCAAGUGUCGGGGCCUAAAGGGGGUCCAGUUCCAGUGCGGAAGGCUGGGAACUAGGAAGCGUCGCGGACCAGACAGCCCGCCUUCCUGGACUCCCGGGUGGGGGUUCGGGGGCGUGGUGCGGCUGCCGGGGCUGAGAGGGGUCGGUGCGGCGGCUCUGCCUCCCGGGAAGUGGGGCCCGGCCAAGUCCUGCGCUGGGAGGGGGCAGGCCCUCUCCUGCCCGCGCCUGGGGGGACACUACGCCUAUGUCCGGAGGAGGCCGGCGUCCAGCAGAUGCUCGCGGGGGGGUGGGAAGUGGGGGAGGGGGCGGGAGAGAGGCGGGGAAGAGAAAACCCACAACAAAACUUGCGUCGCGGAGCGCCCUGCUUGACUUGAAUGGAAGGAGCCCGAGCCCGCCGAGCGCAGCUGAGACUGGGGGAGCGCGUUCGGCCUGCGGGGCGCGGCACGGCGCCGGGGCGCAGCAGGUUCCGUCAGCCCUGGCGCCCAGGUGCAUCUGACUUGGCACCCCCUGCAGGCACUAUGGCCCAGAGCUGGGCGCUGCUACUCCUGCUGCUGCUGCCGCCACAGCUGCACCUGGGACCUGUGCUUGCCGCAAGGGGCCCGGGAUUUGGCCGAAGCGGCAGCCACAGCCUGAGUCCCGAAGAGAACGAAUUUGUGGAGGAGGAGCCGGUGCUGGUCCUGAGCCCUGAGGAGCCCGUGCCUGGCCCAGCUGCGGUCAGUUGCCCUCGAGACUGUGCCUGUUCCCAGGAGGGCGUCGUGGACUGUGGCGGCAUCGACCUGCGUGAGUUCCCCGGGGACCUGCCUGAACACACCAACCACCUGUCCCUGCAGAACAACCAGCUGGAAAAGAUCUACACUGAGGAGCUCUCCCGGCUGCACCGGCUGGAGACGCUGAACCUGCAAAACAACCGCCUGACUUCCCGAGGGCUCCCAGAGAAGGCGUUUGAGCAUCUGACCAACCUCAACUACCUAUACUUGGCCAAUAACAAGCUGACCUUGGCACCCCGCUUCCUGCCAAACGCCCUGAUCAGUGUGGACUUUGCUGCCAACUAUCUCACCAAGAUCUAUGGGCUCACCUUUGGCCAGAAGCCAAACUUGAGGUCUGUGUACCUGCACAACAACAAGCUGGCGGACGCCGGGCUGCCGGACAACAUGUUCAACGGCUCCAGCAAUGUCGAGGUCCUCAUCCUGUCCAGCAACUUCCUGCGCCACGUGCCCAAGCACCUGCCGCCCGCCCUGUACAAGCUGCACCUCAAGAACAACAAGCUGGAGAAGAUCCCCCCGGGGGCCUUCAGUGAGCUGAGCAGCCUGCGCGAGCUGUACCUGCAGAACAACUACCUGACCGACGAGGGCCUGGACAACGAGACCUUCUGGAAGCUCUCGAGCCUGGAGUACCUGGAUCUGUCCAGCAACAACCUGUCUCGGGUCCCGGCAGGGCUGCCACGCAGCCUGGUGCUGCUGCACUUGGAGAAGAACGCCAUCCGGAGCGUGGAUGCGGAUGUGCUGACCCCCAUCCGCAGCCUGGAGUACCUGCUGCUGCACAGCAACCAGCUGCGGGCGCAGGGCAUCCACCCGCUGGCCUUCCAGGGCCUCAAGCGGCUGCACACGGUGCACCUGUACAACAACGCGCUGGAACGCGUGCCCAGCGGCCUGCCUCGCCGCGUGCGCACCCUCAUGAUCCUGCACAACCAGAUCACAGGCAUUGGCCGCGAAGACUUCGCCACCACCUACUUCCUGGAGGAGCUUAACCUCAGCUACAACCGCAUCACCAGCCCGCAGGUGCACCGCGACGCCUUCCGCAAGCUGCGCCUGCUGCGCUCGCUGGACCUGUCGGGCAACCGGCUGCACACGUUGCCACCUGGGCUGCCUCGCAAUGUGCAUGUGCUGAAGGUCAAGCGCAAUGAGCUCGCUGCCCUGGCACGAGGGGCGCUGGCGGGCAUGGCCCAGCUGCGUGAGCUGUACCUCACCAGCAACCGACUGCGCAGCCGGGCCCUGGGCCCCCGCGCCUGGGUGGACCUCGCCGGUCUGCAGGUGGGAGUCCCUGACUCCCUUGGUCGCCCCUGCAGCUGCUGGACAUCGCUGGGAAUCAGCUCACAGAGAUCCCCGAGGGGCUCCCUGAGUCACUUGAGUACCUGUACCUGCAGAACAACAAGAUUAACGCGGUGCCCGCCAAUGCCUUCGACUCCACACCCAACCUCAAGGGGAUCUUUCUGAGGUUUAACAAACUGGCCGUGGGCUCUGUGGUGGACAGCGCCUUCCGGAGGCUGAAGCACCUGCAGGUCUUGGACAUUGAAGGCAACUUUGAGUUUGGUGACGUUUCCAAGGACCGUGGCCGCUUGAGGAAGGAAGAGGAGGAGGAGGAGGAAGAGGAGGAAGAGGAAGAGGAAACAAGAUAGUGACAAGGUGUCGCAGAUCUGACCUAGGAUGAUGGACCGCUGGACUCCUUGCUGCAGCGCACACCUGUGCCCGAGAGCCCCCCACUCUGCUGUGCUCACACAGAUACACCCAGCUGCAAGCAUGGGGCAUCCCACACGACACAGGCCAACACAAUCUCAUAUCCCCACCCCUCCCAGAGCGUGUCCCACGGCCAGACAUGUGCAGACAGCACGUCACACCCUCACACGCCCAGCUCAGCCACACAGCCAGUUACACAUUGCCCUCCAAACCACCAGUCUCUGCCCCACACCCACUACCGCUGCCACGCCCUCUCAAUCAUGCAGGGAAGGGUCUGCCCCUGCCCUGGCACACACAGGCGCCUGCUGCUGACAUGCGUAUGUGUGUGCUACAUACCACACACACACACACACACACACACACACACAGUCAUGUGCAAACAGCCCUCCAAAGCCUGUGCCACGGCCAGCUCUUGCCCCAGCCAGAACAAGCCAUAGCAGCUCACCGUCUGCCCCGUCCACCUGUCCGUCCGUUCCCUGGAGAAGACACAAGGGUAUCUCCAUGCUCUGUGGCCAGGUGCCUGCCACCCUCUGGAACUCACGAAAGCUGGCUUUUUUUCCUUUCCCACUCUUUGGGGACAGGAGCCUUCAGGACUGCUGGCCUGGCCCGGCCCAUGCUGCUCCUGCCCGUGCUGGGCAGUCACUCUGCCAAGAGCCCUCCCCCAGCAACGCCCUGGCAGGACACAGGCACUUUUCCGAUGGGCAAGCCCCAAGGAGGCAGAACGGGGGGUGCCUCUUGGGUGCUGCUGGGGCCUUGGGGCAGGAGUGAAGCGGAGGCGGUGGGGCUGGGCUGAGCCGCAAGGCGGGGGGAAGGGCCCAGCUGCACCCAGGAGACAGCUUUGUUCUUCAGGCCUGUGGGGGAAGUUCCGGGUGCCUUUGUUUUUUAUUCUUUUCUAAGAAAAAAAAUGAUAAAAAUCUCAAAGCUGAUUUUUCUUGUUAUAGAAAAACUAAUAUAAAAGCAUUAUCCCUGUCCCUGCA